CUAAUACCCAAUGAUAUCUCUAGAAGGCAUCUGAAAGAGAUUAAAGAUUUAUCGGUGAUGGAUGGGGAUGCGUCUGAUUAGCUUGUUGGCGGGGUAACGGCCCACCGAGGCAACGAUCAGUAGGGGUUCUGAGAGGAAGGUCCCCCACAUUGGAACUGAGACACGGUCCAAACUCCUACGGGAGGCAGCAGUGAGGAAUAUUGGUCAAUGGACGAGAGUCUGAACCAGCCAAGUAGCGUGCAGGAAGACGGCCCUAUGGGUUGUAAACUGCUUUUAUAAGGGAAUAAAGUGAGUCUCGUGAGACUUUUUGCAUGUACCUUAUGAAUAAGGACCGGCUAAUUCCGUGCCAGCAGCCGCGGUAAUACGGAAGGUCCGGGCGUUAUCCGGAUUUAUUGGGUUUAAAGGGAGCGUAGGCCGGAGAUUAAGCGUGUUGUGAAAUGUAGAUGCUCAACAUCUGAACUGCAGCGCGAACUGGUUUCCUUGAGUACGCACAAAGUGGGCGGAAUUCGUGGUGUAGCGGUGAAGUGCUUAGAUAUCACGAAGAACUCUGAUUGCGAAGGCAGCUCACUGGAGCGCAACUGACGCUGAAGCUCGAAAGUGCGGGUAUCGAACAGGAUUAGAUACCCUGGUAGUCCGCACGGUAAAC
rnacentral:rRNA from 1 species